ensembl:lncRNA
CACCACUUGAAGUGGACAUCUUAAUGCGUUCAUAUGGCGACUUCGAACACAUUUUUAGAAAGAAGUGCAACACCUGCAGCUGCAAAAGAGAGGGAGACGGCGUGGGAGAACAGUGCUGCCCAGGUCAAUGUGUAAGUUUAAAUCACAAUAAUAUUACUGGGAAACUGUUUAAUAGCAGCCUGUUCUGUUAUUUCAUUUAGGUGCAAUCCUGCGGGGGAGAAGCGCAUGUGGCAGCAGCUGAAGAUGAAAUAUAAGAACAUUGUUCAAACAGAAAGAAAGCAGAUGCCUGUAAAAAGGGAGGUGGCCCAGCAGCACCACCUGUAACGGAGGCAGAGGAGCUGGUCCUAAGCCAGAAUUUGGGAAGGCCAGUGGCUGAGGGAAUCCCUGGAGGGAGCUCAUCCUCUGAGACCACAUCCCAAGACACAAGUGCUUUUAUAUAUAUGCGCGAGUGCGUGAGUGAAUUGUGAUGGUACUAUCUGCCUGGUGGAGCCCCUUCACACCACAACACACCUUGGAACUGAUGAAGAGGAUGAAACUGUGUCUGCUGCCUUUACAGAGGGGGAUCCAGAAAGACAUCUAGAGAAGCAGAUAAUUGAAGACCUUGCUCGGGGUUUGGGAAGCUAAAGGAGGGAAGACGGAGGCGUAGUCAUCGAGGGCAAAGAGAAGAAAGAGAGAGAGAGAGAGAGGGAAGCCACGUCCACAUGUAUGACUCACUCUGCCUCCCUCCUUCUGCUCUCUAACUCUUUGUCUACAUCCCAGAGCAGCAGAAAAUAUCGCCACUGGUGCUAUUUAAUGGGAGCACCUUGAGUAGAAGUGAUAAACGUAUCAAUGCUCCCUGCAGCUGUAGGUUCAGUAGCAGUAAGUGC